rnacentral:misc_RNA from 1 species
UCGUGGGGGUCCUCGGGCCCUUUGCGUGAUGCAACCCUUGCCUUUUUGUUAGCAUCUAUCCGUUUCCUCGGCAGCUUCGCCUGCCAACGAGGACCUUCAGAAAACCUUUUUGUAAUCUCGGUACGAAACUCAAGAAAAAGCACAAACGUUUUA